GAGGACACAUGGACUAUCAAGGUGGAGAGUGGACUUGGGAAGCCAGAGCCAUGGAAACCAGAUAGUUCCACCACUGUGAUGUCAAUAACCAUGAGGUCCGCACCAGAACCAAGCUGAUUCCAGUACCAUGCCCUUGAAUCUCCAGAACUUUGAACCAAAUAAACUUCUUUUCUUUAUAAAGUA